rnacentral:lncRNA from 1 species
AAUCAAUUAGUAAGGAAGAAAAAUAUACUGAAUAUUGGAAAUAAUGGGCUCAACUUUAUAUCUCGAGCAACAAAGCUGAAUGAAAUCUUAUUCCAAAAUUCUACUCGAUCAACCAUGAAAUCGAAUCAGAAGCCUCGAAGAAGCCUUUAUUAUCGAACGAUAUAUAUAUAUAUAUAUAUAUAUAUAAAUCGUGCACGUGUCCAAACAAUUUGGACAAGAAUUCCUUCUCUCUCGUUAAAAACCGGCAAUUUCUCGAAGCAGGUGAAAGAGGAUGCUCAAUAUUAAUAAAUCUUUACGAGCUCUCUCUCCCUCCAACUCGACAAAGGAAAUAUUCUUUGAAUAAAGAAUCGCCUCUUUAUCGCCAUAUACUUUCCAGGUUGAUCUAUCUCCUCAGGUGGAAAGCGAGCUGAGGUGGGAUGCAGGUGCGACCCCCUUUUCAAGGUCCUGAUACUGCUACUUCGACGCUUUCCGUUCGCAGACUCUGCUCGACUAAUGUGACGAAAGGUGGAGAAAUCGUCCUUCGUCCACUGGAAACGGAUCUCUCGCAUACCAGAUGAUCGUCAUCCGAACAGGUGAUGGAAGACCCCGAUCGGUUAUCUCGCAGCUUGUCGCGUUAUGGAAUCUUUCUUUUUAUGGUUCAAUUGAAAAAUAAUAUAGAUACUUUUAGACACGGAUUUAAAUAUAUUUUAGAAACGAUUAAUAACUCGAUGCUUUUCCUGAUGCUUUGGAAAAUGAAAAUGAAACAUUCGACUUUCGAUUUUUCGAAAGAAAGAGUUUAAAAAGACAGAAUAUGAAUUCUUCCUUCACUUGGCCAAAGAGCAACGAUCAAUCGAAUUAUUAUUCCUAAAAGCUUAAUUUCCUUUGUGGGGGAUAAAGUACCCCUCUAAAGCCAAUGAAUUACGAAACGGCUGCCAAUCCGUAAUCCUUCUCCCCCCGUUAUAUCCCAUAAUAAUUGAAAUAUCAUCAGCGUGAAUUAUUUUCCGUUACGUAACACCGUUACAACAUAUUGUAAUAUCUGCAUAUUGUAACGCGUCAAAUUAAAUAAUAAAGUCUUAUAUAAUCCCUGCCUAAUAAAACGUAAACGAAUGUAAACACUUCUCGUUACACUUAUCACCUCCUGUUACAUAAUAAUUUAAUAAUUCCUCCCCUCUUGCGUAAUAAUAUAAUAUCACUUAUUCUAUAAAAAAUUCUAGAAAUUUAACAAGAUUAUUACUAAGAAAAAAAUUUUGAUAAUUAAUAUCCGUGAGAAGAAGAGCAUGAAUUCGCUUCGAAUAGGAACCGCGUAUACUUUCGAGUCCAUCCUCCGAAAGAGGAAGAGGUUAAGUUAGACGAAAUCGUAAUGAAAAAUGUAUGUUUCCACGUCGAUGGCCACUCCACGCCAUCUAGAUUGCCUUGGCGCUAGGCCUUCCACUCCUUGCGCGCCUCCAACACUCGUAACGGCCGAAGUUCAGUCUAUCGGGGACCUUGACACGAUUCCGGGCGGCCGGUCAGGGCGGCUAGGUGAACCUAAAACGCGGCCAAGAAUGUCGCCGCGUAAGGCCUCCACAAUUAGUUAAUAAUUCCCGGCCGUCCUUAAUUUCCCGUCAACACGAGCAGCGGCGAGGUGGAUUAAUUAAACCCUGGGGUCGAUCGAAACAAAAGCCGCAUAUUAGGUGGAUCUGCCUAUAGAGAUCAACUUUUUCCGAACCUUGAGGCGAAUAAGAUAGUCAUGGACGACCUCGAGCAAGUGUUGGCUCCCGGCUACGUAUAACGGAUUGCCCGUGACCGGGGAGGACCUUGGCCAUGGAUAUACGUCGGAUGUCGUGACGCAGGCGUCGCGACGCGCGCGUUUACUCCUUUCAUGAUUUCCUUUCGCUAUAAGUUAAAAAAAAAAAAAA